GAUGAACGCUGGCGGCGUGCCUAAUACAUGCAAGUCGAGCGAACGGACGAGAAGCUUGCUUCUCUGAUGUUAGCGGCGGACGGGUGAGUAACACGUGGAUAACCUACCUAUAAGACUGGGAUAACUUCGGGAAACCGGAGCUAAUACCGGAUAAUAUUUUGAACCGCAUGGUUCAAAAGUGAAGGACGGUCUUGCUGUCACUUAUAGAUGGAUCCGCGCUGCAUUAGCUAGUUGGUAAGGUAACGGCUUACCAAGGCAACGAUGCAUAGCCGACCUGGGAGGGUGAUCGGCCACACUGGAACUGAGACACGGUCCAGACUCCUACGGGAGGCAGCAGUAGGGAAUCUUCCGCAAUGGGCGAAAGCCUGACGGAGCAACGCCGCGUGAGUGAUGGAGGUCUUCGGAUCGUAAAACUCUGUUAUUAGGGAAGAACAUAUGUGUAAGUAACUGUGCACAUCUUGACGGUACCUAAUCAGAAAGCCACGGCUAACUACGUG
rnacentral:rRNA from 1 species